GAUAGCGACCUAGUCCGUCAUGGGGCAUGGGGCGGACUGAAAGUGACCUAGUUCGGUGAGGGCGGACUGUCCGCGGACUGGUCCGCUGAGGACGGACUGUCUGCGUACUGGUCCGGCAUCGCACUUGGCCGCUGCGACCUCAAAGCGGACUAGUCCGCACGCCCGGGGGUACUUAAAGCGGACUAGUCCAGUGCACGACGGAUCAAACGCGGACUGGUCUACAGGGGUGCGGACUCUUUCCGGAUAGAAAACGGACUAAUGGCGGACUAAAAUUUUUCGUACUGGCCAGUACUUCGUGAACACAGAGAGACCUGCGCGCUGUGAUGUUGGUACCACUACCGCGUCGCCUUCCUCGCCGCGCUGGCCGCCAUACUCAAUCUCCAGCCGCGUCCCUCUGCGUCAACAUCAACAAGUCUGUCCAUAUUUUAGUUAGUCAGUGCUAUUUCACAAAUUCAAGAUGCCCUUCAUGAAACCGAAGGAGUGGGCACGCAGGGAGAAGGUUGCCAAGGCCAUGAAAGAUAAGUGGUCUAGUGUUUGCGCGCCAGGAAAGCUAUCAGUGAGGAACUUGAACCUGUGAUGUGUGAGGCUGGGCGCUGUAUUAUAGACUUGACAUGUCAGUGUUCACGAGGGACUUGAGCCUUCGCUUUUGCUGAGAAAGAAAGAAGUAUUGGGCUGGCCUCGAAGUUCCUCGUCCGCUGUCAUCUGUGUUUGCUCGAUAAAGAAGUGUCAACAAGCGAACUUGCUACCCGCAGCACCCAAGAUGGUCGUCCUCUGUGUGCCAUAAAUCGGAUGUGUGGACUCAGGUGUUGGACACGACCAUUUUAACAAGCUUUUUUUAGCCAUUAACUUGCCUACAAUUACUGCCAAAACCAUCACCAGAGCAGAGAAGCGUAUGGGGCCCAUUAUUGUGGAGGUGGCACAGUAGUCAUACAGAGAAGCUAUCACUGUAAAAAAAAAAAUCUGGCCGAGCACUUAACGUCUAGUCCCCAGACCGAAGUUUUUUCGUUGCACUAUACCGUUUAGCGCUGGGAGCUAAACGGGUUUAGUGCACCGACCUUAGUCCCCGGAACUAUACACUAUAAUGUCAUCGAUAAAAAUGUUUGUUGCUGGAGUUAUAGUGAUAAUUUGUACUCAACUUUACACUGUUUUAGUGAUAGUAACUAGGGAACCUAUUGCUCAUGUCUAAGCUCCUAUUUUACGCUAGGCACAAAUAUAAUUUUCUCCCAGCAAUGAGCCUUAUUUUCCCUAGAGUUGUGCAUAACUUUUCCCCAGCUCUCCCAUGUGCCCAACCGAACUGUGUAAUUCACUGUAUUCUGCACCUACUAAUUGAACAUAUAAAUAUAAGGUUUUAAACUAGUAAGAA